AUCUUUUGUCACUCUUAGAAAGAUCUGUGGAAGCUAAGCAGGGUCAGGCCUGGUUAGUACUUGAAUGGGAGACCACUUGGGAAGACCAGGUGCUGUAGACG
rnacentral:rRNA from 1 species